rnacentral:sRNA from 1 species
AUGUACCACUCGUACACGUCGGUUCCUGCGCGCCGCCCACACUUACCUGACGAGUGCUCGCGGCGUUCUGCUAGCC